AAUCAACGCUGGCGGCGUGCCUAUCACAUGCAAGUCGGACGAGAAAGUGGGGGCAACCCUGCGAGUACAGUGGCAGACGGGUGAGUAACACGUGAACGACCUACCCUUGAGUGGGGAAUAACACCGCGAAAGCGGUGCUAAUACCGCAUAAAAUCUUGAAGCUGCAUGGUUUUAAGAUCAAAAGCGCAAGUUGCUUGAGGAGGGGUUCGCGGCUGAUUAGCUAGUUGGUGAGGUAACGGCCCACCAAGGCAACGAGCAGUAGCCGGCCUGGGAGGGCGAACGGCCACACUGGAACUGAGACCCGGUCCAGACUCCUACGGGAGGCAGCAGUGGGGAAUUUUGCGCAAUGGGCGAAAGCCUGACGCAGCAACGCCGCGUGGAGGAUGAAGGCCUUCGGGUCGUAAACUCCUGUCGAUGGGGACGAAGUCCUGAGAGGGAUUGACUGUACCCGUUGAGGAAGCCACGGCUAACUCCGUGCCAGCAGCCGCGGUAAUAC
rnacentral:rRNA from 1 species